rnacentral:rRNA from 1 species
GAUGAACGCUAGCGGCAGGCCUAAUACAUGCAAGUUGAACGGAUCUUGGACUUCGGUUCAAGGUUAGUGGCGCGCGGGUGCGUAACGCGUACACAACAUACCCUUAACUGGGGGAUAGCGGUGGGAAACUGCCAGUAAUACCCCAUACCCCUGCGAGGUGGCAUUACCUUGCAAGGAAAGUUACGGCGGUUAGGGAUUGGUGUGCGUCCGAUUAGCUAGUUGGCGGGGUAACGGCCCACCAAGGCGACGAUCGGUAGGGGGUGUGAGAGCAUGGCCCCCCACACGGGUACUGAGACACGGACCCGACUCCUACGGGAGGCAGCAGUAAGGAAUAUUGGACAAUGGGCGGAAGCCUGAUCCAGCCAUGCCGCGUGAAGGAAGAAGGCGCUCAGCGUUGUAAACUUCUUUUAUAUGGGGCGAAAAAACGGGAUUUAUCCUGGACUGACGGUACCAUCAGAAUAAGCACCGGCUAACUCCGUGCCAGCAGCCGCGGUAAAGUAGUCGUG